GAUGAACGCUGGCGGCGUGCCUAAUACAUGCAAGUCGAGCGAAGCGGGGACGGGUGAGUAACACGUGGAUAACCUCCUAUAAGACUGGGAUAAAUUCGGGAAACCGUAGCUAAACAGGCUAAUUAUAGUUGGAUCCACGCUGCAUUAGCCAGUUGGUACGGUAACGGCUUACCAAGGCAACGAUGCAUAGCCGACCUGAGAGGCUGACCGUCCACAAUGGAACUGAGACACGGUCCAGACUCCUACGGGAGGCAGCAGUAGGGAAUCUUCCGCAAUGGGCUAAAGCCUGACGGAGCAACGCCGCGUGAGUUAUGCAGGUUUUCGGAUCGUAAAACUCUGUUAUUAGGGAAGCGGUACCUAAUCAGAAAGCCACGGCUAACUGCGUGCCAGCAGCCGCGGUAAUUC
rnacentral:rRNA from 1 species